rnacentral:misc_RNA from 1 species
GUUCAAAAGACAUGCUACAAAUAACCCUGAAUUAUUAAGCAAUUGUAAAAACAAAACUAAAGAAAGCCCAACUGUUUAGCAUCAAAUUUGUACCCUCUAAAAGUGAUACAACUUUCAGCAGUAUGAUAAGUUGAGUCAUUUGUCUUGGUAAUCACACAACCUGAUGCCAACUUCUUAACUCAUCUAGUAUAUAAAUUAGUGCACAAGGGAAUUGGGUAUUUCGCGGUGUAAGUUAAUUGUCACAAACUCUUAGAUUAGUGUGUUGACCAAACAUACAACUACACAACUGUGAGAACUAGAAACAUUAAUUUCCAACCAUAUUAAGCUACAUGGAAUAUAAUGUCAUCACAUAGAAAUUUAUACAAAUAUUCAAAAUUGUCACAUACAGGGCAGCAUCUGAUGGUCACUUGUUUUGUAGCAUCUGAUCGAUUUGAUCAUUCUGGUUGUACAAUUCCACUAUUUUCUUAGCAUAUGAAGGUGUGUACCUGUCAGCUCUUUCUUUUCCCCAAGUGCGGUUUGUGUGCAAGUAGUUCCUGAUGGUAUGGUAGUCAAGCGAAUAACGGGCAAAUUCCAGACCCUUUGGGCCAAUCAAGUUUAGUAUAAAUGCUAUAAAAUUCCCAACAAACUUUGGUGCAGGUUGAGAAGGACCCUUCCCCAAUUUUGCACUGUCAUCUGCCUUGACAGUCUCCAUAACAAAUGGUCUCCUGUCACCACUACUAAUUGUUGGAGUAAUCUCCAAAAGGUCCUUUACCAAACCCAGCAUUUCUCUCCCUCGUUCAUUUCUGCAAUUUGAACAAUUCAAAGAGAGGGGGAAAGGAUUCAACUUUUCACAUGAAGACAUUAGUAAGUGACAAACAUAAUUAAUUUAGAAGCUCCUAGAAUACUUCUUAUAUCGUGCUACCUGACUGUUACAUAUUGUGGAUGUUGUGUCAUGCUGACUCCAGGAUAUUUUGGCACACCCAUAUAACCAACCACCAGAUCCUGGACAUGGAUGAGUAAAGCAUUAAUCAAAAUCAGGUCAUGUCAGGAAAUAAGUGUUAACAGUUCUCUUUCUGCGUUCUUGCAAGUAAUCUUUGUAGUAGAACAGUUGCUCACAUCCAGUAAAAGGCAAAACUAAAUUCAUGUAACCUAAUUCUACAUGUGCAAGUUACUAAUUGUUACAACGGUGCAAGCCAUCUGCGAGAGAGAGGGGGCAAGGGGCUAGAAAUAGAUUAAAUAAAUCAGAAAAAAUGAAAUGUUUGAAGUAAGUUGAUAGAAGCCCACUGCUAAAGCAUUUGUGUAAUCAAAACAGCUGCAGAACAAAAACAAAAAAUUUUGUAGUUAGAAUACCAGCUGCUGCCAUACUAGGUUUAUUAUUCCUCAGCAAAAGUCCGAAAAUUUUAAUUUCUAAAUGUGUUUUUCAUGCUAAAGCAGUUCCCAGACAAUGGCAAAAAUUAUCGAAAGUCUUUAGUCAAUAUGACAUUAGCAACGUCAAAGUAAAUUGAUUAAUCAAAUUGUAUAUACAUUUUCUACUGAUGCGAGUAUUUGAUUAUUCAGUGUAAAUAGUGCUCUGUAAAAAGAACAAGGAAUACCUAUAGCAAGAUGUAGCAAUUACAUCAUCUAACUCGUUUGCUGGCAGACAGACAUAAGGAACCUGCUUUAGUUAAGAUUGGAAAAGAGAUGAAGCAACAAAAAUUAUAGAACUUGGACCAAGAUCAUGUAGAGGGAAAAAAUUACCUCUUCAAUGCGACCAUCCAAGUGCUUCAAGUGGACAGAGAGAGCGAGAGAGUCGAUCAAUGCAAGAGUAUUCAGACUAGGAGAUACUGUUGGCCUUACACCCUUAGCAGCUAAAACUUCAUCUGGCGUCCUGGCUGAUAAGGGCUUUGGAGAGAAUCUGUCACGUGGAUCACUCUGUACACAUAUAACAGCCUAAACCAUGCCAAAUUUCAGCAUCUCAAUUGCACUAGUAGUGACUAUUCCAGUCCAUUGAGCUCUUGCCAUCCAAGAAAGUUAUGUGGAGAACAUAUAAAUUAAAACUUUGCAUCAAUAAUCUACUUUAUAAAUUAAAUAAAGCAUUCUGGUUGUUAGUCAUUGUUCAGAAGUAGUCCAAGCAGAAGGUAAAUUCAUGUGCAAUGACAUAACAUGAAGUAUUUGGUUUGAACAAUAUGUUUAGUGGAAUAAAAAACAAAAAAAAAUUACAAGUAGAUUUACAAAUAAGUAGUAUUCUAAAAACUCAGAUAAGACAUAUUAAAAUGCAAAACAUCAUAAUAAGAACAAACUACAGACCUCCCAAAACUAAAAUAAUCUUGCUGGCAGCUUUAUGAAAAUAUACUGAAUUCUUACAGUUUUCAUCCCAUCUAAAUUUUCAAGUAAUAGCAUAUAUUUACAGUUAUAGCCAGGAAUCGAGAUUUGAAGUCCUGUUAAUGAUGCAGUAAAUAUCUUUUUGAAGAUCCAAUAGUCCAAUUUUACGUCAAAAUUAAGAGAAAUAUGAAGGUAACCUACAAUUUACAAGUGUAAACCAGUAUAAAGGCAUACCUUCUAUAGGCAAACCUAGAAUUUACAAGCACAAGUUCAUGUGAAAAAAAAAUCAGCAAUAGCACAAUAAAAAGGCACACCUUAGGCUUAGUUUUACGAGCGUAUAACAGCUUCUCAUGGACUCCAAUGUACGUAUCAUCAAAAGAAUCCAUCUUCCUCCCUCUAGCAUGAACAAUAGGUUCCAACGGGGUU